rnacentral:rRNA from 1 species
GAUGAACGCUGGCGGCGUGCCUAACACAUGCAAGUCGAGCGAUCUUCUUCGGAAGAGAGCGGCGGACGGGUGAGUAACGCGUGGGUAACCUGCCCUGUACACACGGAUAACAUACCGAAAGGUAUGCUAAUACGAGAUAAUAUGCUUUUAUCGCAUGGUAGAAGUAUCAAAGCUCCGGCGGUACAGGAUGGACCCGCGUCUGAUUAGCUAGUUGGUAAGGUAACGGCUUACCAAGGCGACGAUCAGUAGCCGACCUGAGAGGGUGAUCGGCCACAUUGGAACUGAGACACGGUCCAAACUCCUACGGGAGGCAGCAGUGGGGAAUAUUGCACAAUGGGCGAAAGCCUGAUGCAGCAGCGCCGCGUGAGCGAUGAAGGCCUUCGGGUCGUAAAGCUCUGUCCUCAAGGAAGAUAAUGACGGUACUUGAGGAGGAAGCCCCGGCUAACUACGUGCCAGCCGCCGCCGUAACAC